GUCAACUGUAUUAAAAUAAUCAUUGGAAACACCAUCAUAAAUGUGAUAGUACCCAUAAUCACCUUGUCUUUAUCCUUAAUUUCAACACCCAUUUUCGUAAACUUCAUAAAUUACAAUGUUGUUAGCAUCUGUCAGCCAAAACUGCCCUAGUCUUGGGAUGAUUUGGUACAAAUCUGCACUUCUAAUUACAUUGAUCUGUUGCUAUGUUUUUGACAGCUAAAGUGAAGAAACCAAGUUGCCAUUUUUGAGGUUACGAGGAAAACUUGCAGACAUUACCUGAAAAUAAGCACCGGGUAAACCUCCCCAUCCUAGCUGUCAAACGACCAGAAAGAGGCUACAGAUUUGAAGGGGAAAGGGCAAGCUUGAUGCCCUUCAAUUCAAUCAAUCAAGUUGAUAAUUGGGUAAGAAUCUUGAGCAAAGAUGAUAUUACAAGAUAUGGGUGUUUGAAGCAAUUUGAUGAUUAGAUUAGAUUGAUUGGGAACAGUAGAAAGAUCCGAGAUAUAUAUGGAAACUAAAGGAGCAGCAGAAGCAAACGUUGGCACUGGAACACCAUACGAUUGGGAGCUAUAUAGUAUCAGCAAGUUGGGAUUAGAGUACCCCCCCUAACUAGCUACCUAUCCUAUCUGGUCCUAUAAUGUAAUGUCCGCCGACAAUUCACAAGUAGAGUCAUAUGAUUCUGGAAUACGUUGGACCAACUUUGCCAAAAGAUGACCCAAAAGGCUCCCUUUAGGGGUCCCUCUUUGGUGGUGGCUCUUUCAUGGCAAAUCUGGCAAUGCUACAGCCUUCUUCCCAAUCUUGCAUUCUUGCUUCUUCUUAAUUCUUAGUCUUAAGUCUUAA